GAUAAACGCUGGCGGCGUGCAUAACACAUGCAAGUCGAACGAUGAAGCUUAAAAGAUUUCUUCGGAAUGAACUUAAUUGGAUUAGUGGCGGACGGGUGAGUAACGCGUGAGUAACCUGCCUUGUACAAGGGGAUAGCCGUUGGAAACGACGAAUAAUACCCUAUGACAUCAAAUAAUCGCAUGAUAAUUUGAUCAAAGAUUUAUCGGUAUAAGAUGGACUCGCGUCUGAUUAGCUAGUUGGUAGAGUAAAAGCCUACCAAGGCAACGAUCAGUAGCCGGCUUGAGAGAGUGUACGGCCACAUUGGGACUGAGACACGGCCCAGACUCCUACGGGAGGCAGCAGUGGGGAAUUUUGCACAAUGGGGGAAACCCUGAUGCAGCGACGCCGCGUGAUUUAGAAGGCCUUCGGGUUGUAAAAAUCUUUUGUAUGGGAAGAAAAUGACAGUACCAUACGAAUAAGGACCGGCUAAUUACGUG
rnacentral:rRNA from 1 species